GCCCCCUCGCAGCCGCCGCCGCAGCCCGCCUGGCUUCCCGUGAGGUCUCCCUGGGAUCGGGAGUGAGAAGCAAACUCUGAAGUUGUGCCCGAAGAAAAGUUGCCCGACUAGAGAAGUCGGGGGGAUCCCGAGUGUCGCCACCCGCUCAAUCCUGUUUGGUCCUGGGUUCUUCCUGCUUUUUCUGCAAACCCAGGGGAAGGGCAGGGUUUGCCUAAGGAAGCUUGCCGUAGUCUUAUGCAGACAAGGGGAGAAAGGAAACGACACGUCUUCAGAGCGGCACCUCGCCUUGUUUAGUCUUCUCAUCUCCUGGCCAGGGUUGGAAUGGAGGCUGAGGGAGGCCUGAGCAGUGCUGGUGCCGGCUCUCCCCAGUCGUAGCCCCUCCUAAAGAAAACACGUCUGAGCCCUCGUGGUGAAGAACCAAACCCAACAAAAGUUGGAUCUUUUUCGGAGAGGGGCCGGGGGCGCCGAGCCCGGCGACUCCGUUCGCGGAGCGCUCGACAGCGGCGGAGCGCUCGCCGCGGCUGGGACUUGACCUGCAGAGGGCAAUAGUUGGACGCAAAUGCCAACAAAGGCAGCGGGGCUCGCUGGCUCGGCGCCGCGGCCGGGACCCGAGAAUGCUGUGUAGCCCACAUUCAUCUGAGAGGCGAUCGCCGGGGACAUGGGAAGCAGGAGCAGCCGCCGAUGUGUGAAAGCAACGAGACAUGGCCAGCCAGAGGCGCCGGGGUCCCUUCACGGGGUUUGUUAACAUGGUAAUCCGGCAUCAGGAGAGAAAGCUGCUUUCUGCUGCCUAGAGCCCAUUCCCCACCACACAUCAGAUGACUCCCUGGCUUUACACACAGUUGGAGUUCUGCUCGAAACCUGGAUUUAAAGGGAAUCUGUUGCUGCGUAUGACAUCUCUCGCAAGCUCCCAGAGAGAAUUGAUGGAGCAUACAGCUAGGGAAUAGGAUACCAGAGAAGCACAGAGAAAGAAUCCAGGCAAUCAUCAGGAUGGGAAGGUUCAGCGUCCACUGGAUAUGGGACAAGAUCGCUUGGCAACCCUUGUGGAUUCUCCUUCUUCUGGAGGCGAAUUAUAGUUAUGGAUUUAUUGUCCCGGUGCAGCACUUCCACCAGCAGCAGCAACAGCAGCAGCUUUCUGACUCUCUUCGGUGACGGGUAUUCUUGGGUGGAUAAUACGGAUUACGUUGUUAUUGCUUAAGAAUACGCGUAGUCGAGGAGAGUACCGGCGGCGGGCAGGCAGGCAGGCAGCGCGACCGCCCCCAGCCCACCAGCUGGCUCCUCACCUCCUCUAGUUGCCAAGCCCUACAGCCCAAGUUUCCUGGACUAGCCCACCUUCCUUCCUGCCUCGCCAAAUGACUCAUGGAAAGCUGUUGAUCUUCAGUCUAUGGAGACAAUCUAACAUCAGCAACUUUCUGGGGGUGCAGCUACAAGGUGAGCCUCGGACUCUGCCUAUGGUCUGUGCUCCCAGAUGACAGCCCCGCGAUGGCAGAUGGAGGGACAUGCUGGCACUGCAUCCUUUGCUGCUCCCAGAGCUGCCACACGCCAUGGGACCCCAGCUGCUGGAUGCCUGACCCAGCUGGACUGCUGCUGGAGAUGUGCUGGGGCUGGCUCAGCCCUGCUUGCUGCUGCCUGUCUGCCUCAUUCUUCUGAGUUAUGCCCCAGCCCGCUCCUGCCCUGUUGUGCCGCUGCCUCCAGGCUGUGUUGAGUUUUCAAUUAUCACAAUAUUCAGUGCAGAUGCUAUGCAAAACAGCCAGUGAGGCUGAGCACGCUGAACUCAGGAGAAUCACAGUUAAAUAAAAGUACUGCUAUGAUACCAGGAGGCUGAUUGGAACCACAAGAUACCAGUGUGGUAUCCUGUGGCUUUUAUGUUGGUAGAUGUAGAUUUCAGCCAUUAGAGUCUAGCUAUCCAACAGAUAACAACUAGAGGAAAUGGAUUUAGGUAUCUUCAGUUGUGAGUAACUGAUCCACAUUUGCCAAUAAAUGCAGAACCUGGUAAACUGCAGAAGAAAGAAAACAUUUGAGAUACCUACAAAUACAUCCAGGCAUGUACUCUGGGGUAGCAUCUAACUGUGUGCAACUUAAACUCUCUGAACACAAAAUACACUCAAAGUGGUACAUCAAGAGAGCUCUGACUUCAGAGAAACAAUGUGUGGCUACUUGUCAACCCCAAAUUCAGGCAAGCAAACAACCAGCAAGGGUAGGUCUCAACUUCUCUAUUUGUACAUGCAGUAACAAGCUCCCAGAUGAUAAUGAUAUUGUGAUACCCCCAUAUGUGGGGGUAAAAGACUAUGACAGAAGAGAAAGAAAUAAGCAAUAAAUACAAUAAUGUCAAACUUUCCUGUUAUUAACUUCUAGAAAAGCCCAACAGCUGGAAUUUUAAAAUGUUUUACAUAGACAAAUGUAAAGAGAACAACACAUCGAGUGUGGUUUUUUCCAAAGGAAAAUGAAAUAGGCAUACAGAGAAAAUUAUUAUAUUUAGUACUCUUAGGGCAAAUUCUGGUUAAGGACUACGAAAUAAUUUGAAAAUAUUAAUGAUUUAGCCUCACAGCUAGCUUUUAGGGAGAUAAUAAUGAUAAUUAUUACUGUAAAUAAAUAGUAUUAUUAUCAUUCUUAUUCAGAAGAAUGGAGUAUUGAUGCAUAGAAAAUUCCAUAUUUGUCCAAAAUACAGAAUAUAUUUGUUUGUGUUUUACUACUAUAACCAUCCUUCUCAAGAACUAUUGUAUAUAUUAGGAUUAUCCUUUUCCAAAUACUCUUUGAUAUACUGUUCAGUUUAUCAGUUCUAAAACCCAACCAACCAAGCUUCCUUGUGAAACAGUGCCAGUCAACAUCUCCAUUUGCAUGUGAAUUCUCUAGCAGCAAGUCCUGGUUAAAAAAAAGAAAAAAAUAAAAAAAAAGGAAUCAUGAAAAUCAGUACAAAAAAAAUCUGUCAAGGCCCCAUCUGUGACUGGGUAUCAGAAUAUCACCAAGAAGCUCUGAGGAACAAAGUUCAUUCCAAGUCUAACACAUAGAGGAUUUUGGUCGAUGAAAUUAAUUCAGGCAGGGAGAAAUGAGAGUGCAUACCAUGAAAAACUCUGUUCCUCCACUGAGGAUCAAAGAAAAGAGGCAUCACUGUGUGUGGUCUUGGGUUUGGUGCACAAAGCCAUGCUUAAACACGACAAUAAUCAGUGUGCUCAUGUCUUGUUUUGAUAGCCAGCUGCUCCUCCGAGGAGAGCCAGGGAAUGAGGGACCUCUGGUCCUGGCAAGAUGAGGACUCCGAUUGCAUGCGACUGCUGCAAAAAGCAAGAUUUACAGCCAGCUACCUGAAGCAGUAUGGAAACAAAAUUAUAGUCUCUACCCUGGCCUUGAAAAUCCCUCUACAAACAUGUUUAUUUCCUUCUGAAUGGGAAUAUGUAAAGGAUGGGGACACUUAUUUGUAGGCUAUUUUUAUAUCUCCUCUUCAGGAUCUGAAUCUUGCAUAUUAAUGAACUACAGGAAAUAGGAAAACCAAACAUUAACACCAUUCUAAUGCAGCAUACUAUUUUUCUUUCCCUUUUUUAAACUGUUAGAGUAUGCAAAUGUUCAGUUAACUGGUCCUUAUGUUUUCUCUUUAUUGAAUUGCUUUCACUAUGGCAAAUAAAUAUUCAUAAAGAAAUGUGGACAAUAAAUCAUUUCAAAUAGUUCAAAGCCA